AAAUAUAGAUGUUGAAAUGAAUUAAUUCGAAGAGAGAUUACACUUAAUUGCGCUGUCAAUAUAUCUUGAUCAUUAUGUAUAAGAUUAUUACAAAAGAUUACACAUAAUGAACGUAUGUAGAUGUAGAUAGUUUAGGAUGGUGAUUACUUUAGAAAAAUAAGAAACUUAAUUACUAAGAGAUAAAAACAAUAAAUUAAUAUCCAAAUAUUUUCUCUCAGAUAAUAAAAUAGGAGGAGCAUUGCAGCCACGUGUCAUCUUGAUCUCAUCAGUAUUUCUAAUUUAUUAUUACUCCUUUGAAAACUUCUCUAUAUUCAAACACCAAACCCAAUCAUUACAAUUCACUCACCUCAAGUAAAUGCCCUUCUUUCUGUCACUAAACACGAAAUGAGUACUACAUUGCAAAAAUAAAAAAUAAAAUAUAAAAUAUAAGAAUUGAAAACGUCACCUUCUCUCUCUCUCUCUCUCUCUCUCUCUCUCUCUCUCUCCCUAACGCUUCAUCCGUACUCAUGGCCGUUUUUCUUUCGCUCAUUCCUCCCGAUCCCAAACCACCCUUCUCUUUGUCCAUCCUCUGAAUUUCCAUAUCCAUCUCCUUAUUCGCUUUCUAAAUAUUCUUCUCCAUUUUCUUGUUGUGCGUAUAUCUCAAUUUGUUCCUUUCGUUUUUUUUUGUUUUUUCCAUGGAGUCGGCGAACGUUGCUGGCUUCGCUCUAAAAACCCUAAUUCGGGUGUGAAAUUGGUGAGAGGCAAACUCAUCGGUGGAGAAUGACGAUUGUGACCGGAGAUCGGUACCUGGUGAAGUUGGUGGAGUUCGUGGAGGAGCAAGCGGGUCCUCUCAUCGAAGAAACCAAGGUGUUGAAGCUGAAUCCGGCGGGCCUCCACUACGUGCAAUCGAGGUUAGAGGCGCUGCACGAGGUCGAGAACCUCCUUGCUGGCGCUCCGGUGGACUACCUGAGAGCGUACGUGUCGGACCUCGGCGACCACCGCGCCCUGGAGCAGCUCCGGCGGAUCCUGCGCCUCCUCACCUCGCUCAAAAUCUUUUCGGUGCUGCCUCAUCCUAUUAGGGAUCCCACUCCCUUGUCCUUCUUGCCGUUUGGGAGCUUGAAGGUUCUGGAGCUCAGGGAUUGUGACUUGUCCACUUCCGCCGCCAAAGGCCUUCUUGAGCUCAGGCACACGCUCGAGAAGAUCAUUUGUCAUAACUCUACUAAUGCUCUGCGGCAUGUGUUUGCUAGCAGGAUAAAGGAGGUGAAGAAUUCUCCUCAGUGGAACCGCCUGUCGUUUGUGUCAUGUGCGUGUAAUGGCUUGGUUCUCAUGGACGAGUCUCUGCAGCUUCUUCCUGCGGUUGAAACACUGGACCUUAGUAGGAACAAGUUCGCAAAGGUGGAUAAUCUGCAGAAGUGUACCAAAUUGAAGCAUUUGGACCUUGGUUUCAAUCACUUGAGAACAUGUGCACCCUUCACCCGGGUUUCCCCUCAAAUUGUUAAACUAGUUUUGAGGAACAAUGCUCUAACUACUUUGCGUGGAAUUGAGAAUUUGAAGUCACUUGAAGGACUUGAUCUUUCCUACAAUAUUGUUUCCAAUUUUUCAGAGCUAGAGUUCGUUGCGGGCCUUCCAUUUCUUCAAAGCUUGUGGUUGGAAGGAAAUCCUUUGUGUUGUGCUCGAUGGUAUAGAGCACAUGUAUUCAGCUUUUUUGCCUUCCCAGAAAGGCUGAAAUUAGAUGAGAAAGAAAUUAACACUAGUGAUUUUUGGAAGAGACAAAUAAUUAUUGCCAGUAUGCAUAAGCAACCUGCCAGUUUUGGGAUUUAUGUACCUGCAAAGGAUGAGGCUGUAGCUGAAGGUGCCAAUAUGAGAAGGAGAAAGGCCUGUCGUCUUGUCAGUAUCAGAAAUGAAGAAGAGACCACUAGCAUAUAUUCUGAGGAAGACUCUGGGUCUUGUGCUAAUGAUAUUAUUCAAAAUAGAGAGGAUCCUGAUUUAUCUGACAAUGAACCUGAAAUAGUAGAUUUGAUAAAUAGAAUUGAACAUAUGAAGAAAGAGCGUUCUAUUAAUUGGUUGAGGGAUUUUAAAGACUGGAUGGAUAUUGCUCCUGACAAAUCAGUGCAGACUAUGAAAGAAGGCAGCACCACACCCCAUCAGAAGGGAAAUUACAUCAGAAACAAGACACAUCUCGAGCAGUCUGGUGAAGUCUCUAGAUAUGCUUCAGACUCCGUUCUAGCGUCAGGGGAUGACAGUAGCAUGAAUAUUUUAGAAUCUGAUAGUUCUUUUGUAGAUACAUCUGCUAGUUUUCAUAGGCCACAACACUUUGACUAUAGAAAUUUGCUUGGUAAUGCCAGUGGGGCCUCACUUUUUGACUCGGGAGGAGUGGACAUGGAGAAGCUUAAAUCCUCACUUGAGGGCAUUGGCAGUUCACUUUCACAAACUAGAAGUUCUCAUGCUGACACCGUUACCACUGAAGGGGCACAAAGAAUGACUGAAAAUGUCAACAUGUCACCAUUGACUAUUAUUCAUGAUAUAUAUGGGUCUCAGUCAUCAUCUGCUUGCCCAGCAUCUCCUCCUCAUUUUCAAGAAGACCUUCUUCAUCGCCGGCAACACCUGGUAGAAGAAAUUUUGCAGCUUUCGACAGAUUCCUUUUCAGUAGCAUCUUCUGAUAGUAACACAAGCUGUAGUGAAGUUGAUUGUGUUGAAUUUGAGCCAUCAGUUUCAGAAGUUGAUAAUCCCCAAUGUAAAACUUAUGUGAAUGGUGUUGGCAGUCAUUUAUCUCAAAGUCAGCUUAAGGAAAAGUUUUGCAACCCAAGACAAGAAAAUGCUCUUGAAAGAGAAAAUGGAAUUUCUUCUUGUAGUUCCUCCUCUGAUCAAAUUUCUAAGCAGCAUGCGAUUGAUUUUGCUGAGAAUGCAUGUUGUGCUAGCCAAGACACUGGUUUGUUGGAGAAAAGAAAAAUCAGAAAAAAAGCCAAAAAAAGAAUUAUUUCAGUACUAAAAGAGAAAUUAGAUGGCAAUGCUUCUGAUGAUACACUAGAGAAGACAAGUCUGGGACAUAUUUCUGCAAAUUUAAAGCAAGAAUUGGAUGAUUUUAUAGUGACAUAUUUCAAUACAACUGUUGCUGAUUCUGAAGCCAGUGAGGUCUGUAGUCAUUGUAUGCGCUGUAAUUGUGUCCUUCAGAGGGAGACAAACUAUAAAGAAAGUGAAGUUGCAGUAUUACUGAGCAGCCAUAAGAAGCUCUAUUUGCUACUGAUCAACGUUACUUCUGAUGGGUCAGGUACAAUUUUGAAGGUGUUGAGUUCCCACAAUAUUGAAGAAGUUUGCGAGGUGCAAGUAGGAAUGGGAUUUCAGGUGUUAAGGGUAAAUUUUGAGAAUGGGGAAACGUAUCUUUUUGUCACAAGAAGCAUUGAGAAGUCAAUAGAAUUACUAUGCACCAUACAUGUGCUUGAUUCAAGUGAUGGAAAUGAUAGAUGCUCAAUAAGAAGGUCCAGGUUGGGUUGUUUGACAAACAAGUAUGUGGUGGUUCAAAUGUGAGCAUAUAUCAGUAUGCAAUGGUGCUCGUUUUUUGUAAAAAUGGAAGUGAGGAAUCAUGGCUGUCGAGAUCACUCUUUGUGAUUGGAGGGUAUGUGCUUUUAUGCAUUGAAGAUGUUAAGCAGCUGUACUUUUUUUCAUCAGAUGCGUCCGUGUCUCCCUAUUUCAGAAUUGAUUCAUGUUGCUCCAUUGCUGACAUUACGGAGAUGGUUAUUGAGGGUGGUAGCUGCUGUGUGACUUUAAGUCUGACAUGUCCACUGGCUGAACUCCAUCCAUUUACCCAAAUGAACCUUGAAUCUGUGAAUCACGAAAAUUCGGCUCCUGGCUCUCUUAAAUUGAAGCUUCAGUGGUUCUCCAGAAAUUACCUUGUGAAGUUUGUGUCAUUGUUGAAGGCAAUCCAUGAAAAAAAAACGGGGUCACCUUUGGUAGUAAGAUGCAUAUCGUAAAUCAUUUUUGCUUUGUGUUAGUUCAUAUUAAUUUCAUUCAUUUUGUUUUUUAUUUUCAUAUUCUUUUUAUGUCAAUUAGUUUGUUUGCUUGGUGUGUUGAGUCUGUAAUAGUUUCCUUCCCCUUAUUCUUUGAUUUGUGUCCAGUCUGUGGCUGUUCUUUUUCUGUGUAUAGAAUUGUAUAGCAUCAAUACUAGAGACCACUUCUCUACAA